CCCGGCCUCGCCUCACAGCGGCUCAACAUUCAAACUUCCAUCACGGCUGCAGCUUCUGAGAGGAGAGCAUCUUCUAGGAUCAUGUAGUCGGAGAUUAAAAAGAGUUCUACUUUUUCCUUUCCAACCUGGAAGCCUUUUAUUGCAAUUUCUUAUCUGACUGUACUGUCUGAUAUCUCCAGUGCAAGGUUGAAUAAAAGUAGUGAAAACAGACAUUGUUACUUUGCUACCAAAAUUAUAGGCAAAGCAUUCAGUCUUUUGAAGCUUUCAUGUUUAAGUCUUUCUAGUAGACUGGAGCCUCUAAGA
rnacentral:lncRNA from 1 species